rnacentral:rRNA from 1 species
CCUACGGGUGGCAGCAGUGGGGAAUUUUGGACAAUGGGCGCAAGCCUGAUCCAGCUAUUCCGCGUGUGGGAUGAAGGCCCUCGGGUUGUAAACCACUUUUGUAGAGAACGAAAAGACACCUUUUAAUAAAGGGUGUUGCUGACGGUACUCUAAGAAUAAGCACCGGCUAACUACGUGCCAGCAGCCGCGGUAAUACGUAGGGUGCGAGCGUUAAUCGGAAUUACUGGGCGUAAAGGGUGCGCAGGCGGUUGAGUAAGACAGAUGUGAAAUCCCCGAGCUUAACUCGGGAAUGGCAUAUGUGACUGCUCGACUAGAGUGUGUCAGAGGGAGGUGGAAUUCCACGUGUAGCAGUGAAAUGCGUAGAUAUGUGGAAGAACACCGGCGGCGAAGGCGGCCUGCUGGACCGUAACUGACGUUGAGGCUCGAAAGCGCGGGGAGCAAACAGGAUUAGAUACCCUGGUAGUC